rnacentral:rRNA from 1 species
GGGAAACUGCUUGAUGGAGGGGGAUAAUUACUGGAAACGGUAGCUAAUACCGCAUAACGUCGCAAGACCAAAGAGGGGGACCUUCGGGCCUCUUGCCAUCGGAUGUGCCCAGAUGGGAUUAGCUAGUAGGUGGGGUAACGGCUCACCUAGGCGACGAUCCCUAGCUGGUCUGAGAGGAUGACCAGCCACACUGGAACUGAGACACGGUCCAGACUCCUACGGGAGGCAGCAGUGGGGAAUAUUGCACAAUGGGCGCAAGCCUGAUGCAGCCAUGCCGCGUGUAUGAAGAAGGCCUUCGGGUUGUAAAGUACUUUCAGCGGGGAGGAAGGUGUUGAGGUUAAUAACCUCAGCAAUUGACGUACCCNGCAGAAGAAGCACCGGCAACU